GUAGGGAAUAUUGCUCAAUGGGGGAAACCCUGAAGCAGCAACGCCGCGUGGAGGAUGACACUUUUCGGAGCGUAAACUCCUUUUCUUGGGGAAGAAAUUUGACGGUACCCAAGGAAUAAGCACCGGCUAACUCCGUGCCAGCAGCCGCGGUAAUACGGAGGGUGCAAGCGUUACUCGGAAUCACUGGGCGUAAAGGACGCGUAGGCGGAUUAUCAAGUCUCUUGUGAAAUCCAAUGGCUUAACCAUUGAACUGCUUGAGAAACUGAUAAUCUAGAGUGAGGGAGAGGCAGAUGGAAUUGGUGGUGUAGGGGUAAAAUCCGUAGAGAUCACCAGGAAUACCCAUUGCGAAGGCGAUCUGCUGGAACUCAACUGACGCUAAUGCGUGAAAGCGUGGGGAGCAAACAGGAUUAGAAACCCUAGUAGUCC
rnacentral:rRNA from 1 species